UACGAAGGUGGCAAGCGUUACUCGGAAUUACUAGGCGUAAAGGGCAGGUAGGCGGUCUGUUAAGUCUGGCGUGAAAGCUCUCGGCUAAACCGGGAGAGGUCGUUGGAUACUGGCAAACUAGAGGACGGUAGAGGCGUGUGGAAUUCCGGGUGUAGUGGUGAAAUGCGUAGAGAUCCCCAAGAACACCAGUUGCGAAGGCGGCUGACUGGACACAUAUUGAGCGCUGAGGCUCGAAAGCAUGGGGAGCAAACAGG
rnacentral:rRNA from 1 species